rnacentral:rRNA from 1 species
AAUGAUUCCGUAAGUAGUGGCGAGCGAACGCGGAGGAGCCCAAACCGUUUAUGUUACGGCAUAACCGGGGUUGUAGGACCUGCAUAAUUGAGAGAAAUCCGACGAGAACUGCGUGGGAAAGCAGACCAUAGGGGGUGAGAGUCCCGUAUUGGAAGGAUUUUGAUUGAGGCGGGUAUCCUGAGUAGGGCGGGACCGGAGAAAUCCCGUUUGAAACUGCCGGCACCAUCCGGUAAGGCUAAAUACUCCUGAGAGACCGAUAGUGAACGAGUACCGUGAGGGAAAGGUGAAAAGUACUCCGAAUAGGAGGGUGAAAUAGAACCUGAAACCGUGCGCUUACAAGCGGUCGGAGCCAAGUGAUUUGGUGACGGCGUGCCUUUUGCAUAAUGAGCCUACGAGUUACUCCUCUCUGGCAAGGGUAAGGUAUUCAGUACCGUACCCGGAGCGAAAGCGAGUCUGAAAGGGCGAAUGAGUCGGAGGGGGUAGACGCGAAACUUAGUGAUCUACCCAUGGCCAGGUUGAAGGUUGGGUAAAACCAACUGGAGGACCGAACCGAUAAGCGUUGAAAAGCUUCCGGAUGAGCUGUGGGUAGGGGUGAAAGGCUAAUCAAACUGAGAAAUAGCUCGUACUCCCCGAAAUGUUUUUAGGAACAGCGUCGGGAAUUGUAUGACGGAGGUAGAGCUACCGAUAGGACUAGGGGGAGUCACAUCCUACCAAAUCCUGACGAACUCCGAAUGCCGUCAUAUAGAACCGGCAGUGAGGGCUGGGGUGCUAAGGUCCCAGUCCGAGAGGGAAAGAACCCAGACCUUCCGCUAAGGUCCCCAAAUUUAGGUUAAGUUGAACAAAGGUGGUCCAGUUGCAGAGACAGCCAGGAGGUUAGCUUGGAAGCAGCUAUUCCUUUAAAGAGUGCGUAACAGCUCACUGGUCGAGCGACAGGGCGUCGAUAAUAAUCGGGCAUCAAACCUAAUACCGAAGCGAAGGAUUCGAUCCGCCACGGCGGACGAGUGGUAGGGGAGCAUUCCAAUGACGGUGAAGGUAUCCUGUAAGGGGUGCUGGAGUUUUUGGAAAAGCAAAUGUAGGCAUAAGUAACGAUAAGGCGGGCGAGAAACCCGCCCACCGUAAGACCCAGGUUUCCUGAUCAACGUUAAUCGGAUCAGGGUUAGUCGGGACCUAACGCGAACCCGAAAGGGGUAGUGGAUGGACAAUGGGUUAAUAUUCCCAUACUAUUUAUACAGGUAAUGGAGUGACGGAGUGAUGAAAGAUCCGCCCGGUGACGGAAUACCGGGUUAAAGCGAGUAGGUAUUGGACCCAUAGUUAAAUGCGUGGGUUUAGCCGAACGUGAUAGUACUGAGCGUUUUCGGACAAUCAGAUAGUGAUCCUAAGGGCUUCCAAGAAAAACUUCUAGCGAUAAGCGUAUAGAUACCCGUACCGCAAACCGACACAGGUGGUCGAGGAGAGAAUCCUAAGGUGCUCGAGUGAAUCAUGGUUAAGGAACUCGGCAAAAUGGCCCUGUAACUUCGGGAGAAGGGGCGCUGGCAGCGAUGUCAGCCGCAGUGAAGAGGCCCAGGCGACUGUUUAACAAAAACACAUGGCUUUGCAAAGUUUUAAGACUAAGUAUAAGGCCUGACACCUGCCCGGUGCUGGAAGGUUAAGAGGGGAUGUUAUCGCAAGAGACGCAUUGAAUCGAAGCCCCAGUAAACGGCGGCCGUAACUAUAACGGUCCUAAGGUAGCGAAAUUCCUUGUCGGGUAAGUUCCGACCUGCACGAAUGGUGUAACGAUCUGGGCGCUGUCUCAACCAUGAGCUCGGUGAAAUUGUAGUCGCGGUGAAGAUGCCGCGUACCCGCAACGGGACGGAAAGACCCCAUGCACCUUUACUGCAGCUUAGUAUUGGUACUGGACAAAUGAUGUGUAGGAUAGGUGGGAGACUGUGAAGCGGGUUCGCCAGGAUUCGUGGAGUCACUGUUGAAAUACCACCCUUUGUUUGUCUGGUAUCUAACCCGCCUGAGGCGGGGACAUUGCUUGGUGGGUAGUUUGACUGGGGUGGUCGCCUCCAAAAGGAUAACGGAGGCUUCCAAAGGUUCCCUCAGUACGCUUGGUAACCGUACGAGGAGUGCAAUAGCAUAAGGGAGCUUGACUGUAAGGCCGACAAGCCGAGCAGGGUGGAAACACGGGUAUAGUGAUCCGGCGGUUCUGAAUGGAAGGGCCGUCGCUCAAAGGAUAAAAGGUACGCUGGGGAUAACAGGCUGAUCUCCCCCAAGAGCUCAUAUCGACGGGGAGGUUUGGCACCUCGAUGUCGGCUCGUCACAUCCUGGGGCUGGAGAAGGUCCCAAGGGUU